rnacentral:lncRNA from 1 species
UGAGGUUGAAUUUGAACUUGCAUCUCUAUUAAUCUAUCUUGUUAUCUUUUUCUCAAAAAAAAAGCUGAUCAUUAUUUAGGUGAUAUGUAAGAAAUGGGUAAAUAUCUAACCGAGCGAUGUAAAUACUUUUCUUAUUCAUCACACUAGUAUAAGCUCAUGUGGAGGCCUAUUGUUUUCCUAGUAGAUACAAUUCUGUGCCUGUGUUAACUCCGUUAGUGUCAAAGAUAUCAAGCUUCAAUGUCCCUGCUGCCGUUACUCUGAACACCAUGGCUUGAAAUAAAUACCUGAAAAAUGAAACUGGUGCAGUUAGAAUGGAAGGCACUACUACCAGUACAUGGAUGGUUCACCUGUAGAUGUUAGUCUUGUUGGCCAGUUGCAGGAUUGCAGCUCAAAGCAAUCCCCAGCUUGAGGCUCACCAGUCAGCACUCACAUGUGUUAGAUUUCUGAAAAAACCAAAAACUUAGCCUUGAUUGGUCAGCCUGCACGGCAAAAAUUUGACAUUGAAGCAUGUGCUGAAGAUUUGGCAGGUAAUACACUAGUUUUCCUUGGGUUUUUGUCUGGAACAAUUUAUUCUUAGCAGAUACUUUGUCAAGCAUAACUGCAAGUACCCUCAAGGACUUCUUCGUAUAGUAAUCUAUUCUACUUUAGUUCUCUUUAAAUACAACAACCUAGUAUAAAAAAACGAGACUGUAAUU